rnacentral:misc_RNA from 1 species
UAGAAUACUCCAUAUCCCUAUCACAACCAUAGCCAACUUGCUUUGGAUCAUAAUUACUUUAUCAGACCAAAAAUUGUAUUGAAGACCAAUUCAAGUAGUAUCUUAAUUCAAUGCCUACUUAUGGAUCGAGUUAUAACUGUUUAAGAUUUAGAAUGAACCCAGGUCAAACUUAUUGAAAAUUAUCAGAUGGUAGAAUAAAAAAAUGGCUUUAAGUAGUCUACAUUACUAGCCUAGGCCCAGGACCACUGUCUUCAACCCAUCAGCACCCACACCACCACCUACAGUCCAACACUAUGCCAGAAUAACUAACAAAAGAGUAAAUCCUACAAGGGCACACUUAACUCUGUGGCUAGAAGCAAGGACAGAAAACAAAUUAUUCAAGGCAUAUUCAGUCACAUUUUAGUUUUUGGUUUGUCAUCUAAAAAAAAUGUUCAGCUAACUUGAUGUACAUGCACUUUCAUUUUUUUUUUUUUACAAUUUCUGCAAAAGCAUUUUAAAAUAAGAAACAAGAAAAUAGGAAACCAUAAAACAUGGUUUCCUUCUUUUUCGUUUAUAACCUACUUUUCCCAGAAAAGAGGAAUAACCGCUUUAUUUCUCUGUUUCAAAAUUGUUUCACAGUAAAUCCUUUCAAUCUCACCACUGCACCUUUCACUCUCUUCCCCAUGGUUUGCAUCUUCAACUUGCCCUCUCACCCACCAUCGCUUGCCUCCCUUUCUCUCUCACUCAAUAUCUAAGAAUCAGUUACCUUCAUCAUUGUUCUUCACUAAAUCUGCACCAAGUCUCACAAUCAAAUUGUAUAAACCGGCCAGCAGUUCCUUUAUUAAUUGCAGAACAGCUUUAGGUGAGUAUGGUGCAAGUAUUAUUGCCUUUAGAUUUGGAUGAGUUUUUUGUUUAGAAGAUCAAUGACAUGCCAAUAAUAAUUUGUAAUGAUUGUCCACAGGUGUUGAUUGGGAGAUGGUGGUGUUCAGAAUAUGGAAGCCAUGGACUCAUGAAGGAAGAAGAUCGUCAAUAGUGCCUUGGUGGCGGAAAUAAGAAAAAAGAACACAGUUUUUGGUUUGAUUAGAUAAAAGUAGAUAUGAAAGAGAAUAAAAAAAAUAUUUUAUUCAAAACCAGAAACCAAGAUUAAAAACAGUUUUAUGUUUUAAGGGUGGAAAAAAAAAA